CUCUUCAUCCCCAGUGAUCUGAAACCAAUGAUUUUGACUAUUUAAUCCUGUUCUUCAUCCCUCACUGAACUCCACCUGCCAUUCUAUCACUAUGGAAACCACUGAAUAACUCCAUUCCCUACUGCCUAUUCCUUUAUUCUCAUUCCCAUCAAUUCAACCUUCCAACAUAUUCCACUCUAAAUGUGCUCUCUGGAAUGCUUACUCCAUAGUUUGUUUAUGGCUGAUUAGUUUCAUGGCCCACAGCAUACUGCCUCAAAUUUGUGGAUUUGAAUCCUAUGUGGAAUCUUACAUGAAACAGAUGUGGCGUCUCUGCUAAUGGACUGAUUCAUUGCUGGCUGAGUCAACCAAAUCACUCAUCACCUAACUUGGUACUGCUGUUACCAGCUUUCAGUGCUGAAGAGAGAGAGCUUCCAUGGCUCUUCCAAGCCUCUUUUGAGAGCUCACAAGAUUGUCAUCUAGUCUGUUCCAUCUCAGGGAUUUAAGCAUGUUCAUGCUUAAAGCCUUAAACCAAAGGUUAAAGGUGGAAAGGAAGAACAAGAUAGAAAAACUGUCGUGCCAAAGGGAUCAACAAUUAGUGGACUAGGUUGCUCAUAUUGGUGAUCAAUUAAGAUGUGGGGUAGGCCAAGAAUACAAGGAAAUCAGGAAAUCAGAAACUCAUUAGAAGCAGAAAACUGGAACAAAGUGUCUGACUGAUUGUGUGUAUUUGUGUGUAUUUAUGGAAGACCUCAGAAUAUUAGACCAAAUGUUAUAAAAUUAAGGGAAUUAAAUAUCACUCUUCCUCACAGGAAGCCUCCCUAGUCUUAGAGCUGCAG
rnacentral:lncRNA from 1 species